GGUUCAGGUCACAGAAGAAACUCUAAUGUAUGAAGAGCAAAACCCUUUACCAAAACUACUUCUCGAAAAUAAAAUACGUGGAUUGAAGACUGGAUAAAACGUAGAGAGACAUUACUGCAACCUCAAACCCCCCCCCCCCCCCACAGGAAGCAGAGCAGGAGACAUGUUACAAAUGUUGUGAAGACCAUCCCCUGGUGGCAUCAAUCAAAUCCUACCAGCGUCCAUGGUAAUGAGGCGGGGGGGGGGGGGGCUGGAUGAGGUGAUGGGAGAUUAGUCACCGCUCGUUAGUAGAGCUGUGCAUGAGAACAGCCCAGACAGGUGAAAGAGGACAGUUUCAUUACUGUGUGUGUGUUACUCUGCUGAUGUAUGCAUGACAGUGUCCCCCAGCACAGGCAGCACAGUGGUUGGCCAUGUGAACUCUGACACCACACCCCCGACCCACGUCCCUGUGGAUAUGUGGGUGGGUGGGCGCAGGUGGGGAAUAUCUGUCAGCCUCACAGAACAGAUCCUGUGCUCUUCUGCAUGCGUGUGGGGGCGGGGGCUGGCCAGGCAGCCUCUUAGUCCCGCUGGGCACCGAUACAGCAGGUCAAAUUGCAGUAACGUCGUCACACGUUGUUUUUGAUGGGUGGGGUGUUUAAAUGCCAUCCACUGUCUGGAAAUGGAGGUCCAUUACACCCCCCUCACUCUGAACAUACUGUCAGAGACUGAACUGGCCCUUCAGCCCCGUCUCACCAAGAAGACCCACAAUCACAGUUCCACACUGAAGGGAACCGUGUGCCGGAAACGAGAGACUCCGGCCUGGCAGAAGGGCCCAGGCCUGGAACAACGAGGUCACUUCCUCGUCUGGGCCCAGCGGAAGAGCGGGCUACCGCGGCGAGCGUGACCAAUAGGGUGGGGCGAGGAGGCCAACAGGACUCCCGUCUGGCCCGACACCCCCUCCCCAAGCCCGAGGCGUGCCACCGCCCCGCCAAGAAAGAGGUCAUUGAGACAGAGGCAGCUGUGGGCCAAGCAAAACAGCGGCUUCUGGUAACCCCUUGGCACAGAGCUGCAACAAAAUACACGUCAAACUGCCCGCCACUGGGCCGCAUCCUGCUUUUUCAUUUCCCCAUCCCACGGAAAAGAUGGUGACGAGGGAGGCGUGGGCAGGCCAGGGGCACGUUGGGGCUGUGACCAGGCCCCAGCUCCACAUAAUCAAGUUCGACAAGAUCAGGAAAAGCACAGAACUCAGUUUCUGGCCCACUUCACAGAGCCAUGGUUAUAAAGCAAUAUUCCAAUUCUCUGAGCUGAGGAGUACAAACAAAAGCGAUCUACAGCUCUGCUGUGAACCGGGCUGGAUCCUCAGCCAUUAGCAGACACUUUAUAAAAGCAACAAAUUAGCAAAUGGGUAAUAAAGGUAAAAAUGAAAGCUGGGUCACUUUGGAUAAAAGACCUUACCAAGAAACACGUGGCAGUUCCUGCUAAUAUGAGACCUUCAUUUGCUGUGAGGGUCUUCGGAGACUCAGGGCUUCUGCAUAUUGUUUUCAGCUUUGAAACUGAAGACGGGACUGAGAUUUUCCACGUUACAGACCCUUCCUAAGUGUCACAGAGGGGCCCACGGUGAACAGCACUGAUUAAUCGCCUGUCCCCACCGCAGAUAACCAGUAUGAACAGCGCCCCCUGGGAGCAGGAAAGAUACACAAAGUCUCCAUGUAGGGAGGGCCGAUGUUUAAAUCAUUAUUAUCGUCAUUAUUCUUCAAACCACCUAAAUGCCACUGUAGCAGGAUCCACCUCUCCCAGCGGCACAGAGAAGAUGAAGCCAGUUCAAGUUUCUCCUCUUCCUCACUAGCAGGCUGAGCGUGUUCUGGACAGAUGUGAGUAUGACGUGUAUAACUCGCAACGCAAACAUGCUGAAGUUCACCUGAAAUAGCGCUAAAGUAAAAGCAUAACACAGCCACGCCGAUACAGAGGUAAAGGAGGGCCCACCUUACCAGCAUUAAAUGCAGCUGCGUUUGUUCCUUCCCUGCCCCUCUGAUGUCUAAUUUGUCCCACCGAGCGUGUAGAUGGGAGCAGCAGCAAGACCUCACACAGCAAAUCCCAGAGCUGAUAGUUAAACGGAGCCCAGAGGAGGCGGAGCUCGGACCAGCUGCCUUGGACAUCAGCAGCACGACUAGGCCCCGCAUCUGCAGGUUGUUUCUGCUGUCAUGCACAAAGCCCCUGGAGACGGGACAAGACAGGCGUCCAUCAAGCAAAAUCCUGCCCACAAGAGCCGUACAUUACAGGGAUUUUGGGUUAAGUACUUCGUCACAGGAGAUGCCUGAAGUAGCGGAUCCUCCCAUGAGACCUGAGAACGGCGUUUCUCCGCCACCGAAACUGCGGUGACCACCUUCCACAACUGCGGGUGACCGACCCAGCAAACAGACGGACUGGAGAUCUGGGAUUUAAGCUCGCUUCUGCGAUCAGCCUGGCCGUAACAAGCACCAAGGGGCGAUGCCUUCACACCCACCGGCCCACCCACACCCACCGGAAGUGCCAAGGCAGAACGGACCGUACCUGGCGGUGUUCAGCAGCGG